UACAGAGGUCUCAAGCGUUGUUCGGAAUUACUGGGCGUAAAGGGCUCGUAGGCGGCGCGGUAAGUCGGGUGUGAAAUCUCGGGGCUUAACUCCGAAACUGCAUUCGAUACUGCCGUGCUUGAGGACUGGAGAGGAGACUGGAAUUUACGGUGUAGCGGUGAAAUGCGUAGAUAUCGUAAGGAAGACCAGUGGCGAAGGCGGGUCUCUGGACAGUUCCUGACGCUGAGGCACGAAGGCCAGGGGAGCAAACGGG
rnacentral:rRNA from 1 species